rnacentral:snRNA from 1 species
CCUUAUCGGCUUUUCCUUUGUCU